rnacentral:rRNA from 1 species
GACGAACGCUGGCGGCGUGCUUAACACAUGCAAGUCGAACGGAAAGGCCCUGCUUUUGUGGGGUGCUCGAGUGGCGAACGGGUGAGUAACACGUGAGUAACCUGCCCUUGACUUUGGGAUAACUUCAGGAAACUGGGGCUAAUACCGGAUAGGAGCUCCUGCUGCAUGGUGGGGGUUGGAAAGUUUCGGCGGUUGGGGAUGGACUCGCGGCUUAUCAGCUUGUUGGUGGGGUAGUGGCUUACCAAGGCUUUGACGGGUAGCCGGCCUGAGAGGGUGACCGGCCACAUGGGGACUAAGAUACGGCCCAGACUCCUACGGGAGGCAGCAGUGGGAAAUAUUGCGCAAUGGGCGGAAGCCUGAUGCAGCGACGCCGCGUGCGGAAUGACGGCUUUCGGGUUGUAAACCGCUUUCGCCUGAGACGAAGCGUGAGUGACGGUAAUGGGUAAAGAAGCACCGGCUAACUACGUG